rnacentral:lncRNA from 1 species
GAAGUAUCCGGUCUCACCUGCUCACCUUACCUCACACCUGGCAUCCUGGAACAGUGAGCCCAGUAACACAAACACGGUUCCCUGGCCCAGCUCCAGCGGCUCUGCAUUUUAACAGACCAACCUGGCGACCCCACAGAUCCUCUACCUGGGACCUUAAUAUGACACUUCAUGUACACAGUCACCCCUGGACCCAGCAGACUGGCCCUGCACGCCCUCAGACCCAGACAGGCCUUGGAAUGAGAAGAAAACAGCCCAAGUAAACACAGAGUUUCAGACAAAAUGCCCAACCUUUGUGAUAACUGGCAUCCUUCAUUCCAUAGCUGUGACUCGGAGAGAGAAGCCAGGGUAUUUUUAAGUGUCUGGUGUCACUAAUGUAGCAAUAAAC